UGGGGAAUUUUGGACAAUGGGCGAAAGCCUGAUCCAGCAAUGCCGCGUGUGUGAAGAAGGCCCUCGGGUUGUAAAGCACUUUUGUCCGGAAAGAAAUCCUUGGCUCUAAUACAGUCGGGGGAUGACGGUACCGGAAGAAUAAGCACCGGCUAACUACGUGCCAGCAGCCGCGGUAAUACGUAGGGUGCAAGCGUUAAUCGGAAUUACUGGGCGUAAAGCGUGCGCAGGCGGUUUGCUAAGACCGAUGUGAAAUCCCCGGGCUCAACCUGGGAACUGCAUUGGUGACUGGCAGGCUAGAGUAUGGCAGAGGGGGGUAGAAUUCCACGUGUAGCAGUGAAAUGCGUAGAGAUGUGGAGGAAUACCGAUGGCGAAGGCAGCCCCCUGGGCCAAUACUGACGCUCAUGCACGAAAGCGUGGGGAGCAAACAGGAUUAGAUACCCUGGUAGUCCACGCCCUAAACGAUGUCAACUAGUUGUUGGGGAUUCAUUUCCUUAGUAACGUAGCUAACGCGUGAAGUUGACCGCCUGGGGAGUACGGUCGCAAGAUUAAAACUCAAAGGAAUUGACGGGGUCAUAGCUGUUUCCU
rnacentral:rRNA from 1 species